AACGCGAAGAACCUUACCUACCCUUUGACAUGCACGAACUUAUCCUGAGAGAUCUUGGUUCCUUUGUGAGAGCGUGUGCCACAGGUGCAUGAUGGUUGUCAUCUGGUCGUGUCAUGAGAUGUUGUGUUAAGUCCCGCAACGAGCGCAACCCUUGUCAGUAGUUGCCAUCAUUAGGUUGGGCACUCUAAUGAGACUGCCGGUGACAAACCGGAGGAAGGUGGGGAUGACGUCAAGUCCUCAUGGCCCUUAUGGGUGGGGCUUCACACGUCAUACAAUGGUCGGUACAGAGGGUUGCCAACCCGCGAGGUGGAGCCAAUCCCAAAAAGCCGAUCAUAUUCCGUAUUGGACUCUGCCACUCGACUCCAUGAAGUCAGAAUCGCUAGUAAUCGCAUAUCAGCAUGCUGCGGUAAAUACUUUCCCGGGUCUUGUACACACCG
rnacentral:rRNA from 1 species